rnacentral:tRNA from 1 species
UGUGGAAAUUUUGAUUUUAUGGUGUGGUUCCGUUAAGGAGUAAUU